rnacentral:lncRNA from 1 species
UCCUUUCUUCCUUUAGCUAUCUUCCAAUAUCUACCUUUUUUUUUUACCUUUCUUUCUUCUCCUUCACUUCUUCUCCUCUGCUUUCCUUUUUUUUUCUAGUUACUUUUCUUAUUUUCUACAAAGGGGGACCAUGGUUAUAAGGUCCCCAAAUCUGCUUUUCUAGUGUCGUCUAUCAAAUAAGGGCCACUGGUGCUGCCUAUUGAUAUGAUACCACCCUCAAAUACAUACUAUACCUAU